GAUGAACGCUGGCGGUAUGCUUAACACAUGCAAGUCGAACGGGGGUAGAAAUACCCUAGUGGCGGACGGGUGAGUAACGCGUGAGAAUCUAGCUUCAGGUCGGGGAUAACAGAGGGAAACCGCUGCUAAUACCGGAUGAACCUACGGGUAAAAGAUUAAUUGCCAGAAGAUGAGCUCGCGUCCGAUUAGCUAGUUGGUAGGGUAAUGGCCUACCAAGGCGGCGAUCGGUAGCUGGUCUGAGAGGACGAUCAGCCACACUGGGACUGAGACACGGCCCAGACUCCUACGGGAGGCAGCAGUGGGGAAUUUUCCGCAAUGGGCGAAAGCCUGACGGAGCAAUACCGCGUGAGGGAGGAAGGCUCUUGGGUUGUAAACCUCUUUUCUCAAGGAAGAAGCAAUGACGGUACUUGAGGAAUCAGCAUCGGCUAACUCCGUG
rnacentral:rRNA from 1 species